CCCUUAGAGUUUGAUCCUGGCUCAGGACGAACGCUGGCGGCGCGCCUAACACAUGCAAGUCGAACGAGCGAGAGAGAGCUUGCUUUCUUGAGCGAGUGGCGAACGGGUGAGUAACGCGUGAGGAACCUGCCUCAAAGAGGGGGACAACAGUUGGAAACGACUGCUAAUACCGCAUAAGCCCACGGCUCGGCAUCGAGCAGAGGGAAAAGGAGCAAUCCGCUUUGAGAUGGCCUCGCGUCCGAUUAGCUAGUUGGUGAGGUAAUGGCCCACCAAGGCGACGAUCGGUAGCCGGACUGAGAGGUUGAACGGCCACAUUGGGACUGAGACACGGCCCAGACUCCUACGGGAGGCAGCAGUGGGGAAUAUUGCACAAUGGGGGAAACCCUGAUGCAACGACGCCGCGUGGAGGAAGAAGGUCUUCGGAUUGUAAACUCCUGUUGUUGAGGAAGAUAAUGACGGUACUCAACAAGGAAGUGACGGCUAACUACGUGCCAGCAGCCGCGGUAAAACGUAGGUCACAAGCGUUGUCCGGAAUUACUGGGUGUAAAGGGAGCGCAGGCGGGAAGACAAGUUGGAAGUGAAAUCCAUGGGCUCAACCCAUGAACUGCUUUCAAAACUGUUUUUCUUGAGUAGUGCAGAGGUAGGCGGAAUUCCCGGUGUAGCGGUGGAAUGCGUAGAUAUCGGGAGGAACACCAGUGGCGAAGGCGGCCUACUGGGCACCAACUGACGCUGAGGCUCGAAAGUGUGGGUAGCAAACAGGAUUAGAUACCCUGGUAGUCCACACCGUAAACGAUGAUUACUAGGUGUUGGAGGAUUGACCCCUUCAGUGCCGCAGUUAACACAAUAAGUAAUCCACCUGGGGAGUACGACCGCAAGGUUGAA
rnacentral:rRNA from 1 species